rnacentral:rRNA from 1 species
GUUUGAUCCUGGCUCAGAGCGAACGUUUGCGGCGGGGCUUAACACAUGCAAGUCGAACGAGAAUCCCUUCGGGGAGGAAAGUGGCGCACGGGUGCGUAACACGUGGAUGACCUACCCCUUGGUUCGGGACAACAGCGGGAAACUGCUGCUAAUACCGGAUGUGUCGUAGCAAUACGAGAAAGGCCCGCAAGGGUCGCCAGAGGACGGGUCCGCGUCCCAUCAGCUAGUUGGUGAGGUAAUGGCUCACCAAGGCGAAGACGGGUAGCUGGUCUGAGAGGAUGAUCAGCCACACUGGAACUGAGACACGGUCCAGACUCCUACGGGAGGCAGCAGUGGGGAAUAUUGCGCAAUGGGCGAAAGCCUGACGCAGCCACGCCGCGUGAGCGAUGAAGGUCUUCGGAUCGUAAAGCUCUGUGGGGGGAGAAGAAGAAAGUCGGUGAAGAGCCGGCCUGACGGUAUCCCCUUAGCAAGCACCGGCUAACUCCGUGCCAGCAGCCGCGGUAAUACGGAGGUGCAAACGUUG